rnacentral:tRNA from 1 species
ACCUGGGUGGCUCAGUCGGUUAAGCGUCUGACUUCAGCUCAGGUCAUGAUCUCACAGUUUGUGAGUUCGAGCCCCACAUCAGGCU